rnacentral:rRNA from 1 species
UACGAACCGUGCGAACGUUGUUCGGAUUCACUGGGCUUAAAGGGCGCGUAGGCGGACGGUCAAGUCAGGGGUGAAAUCUUUCAGCUCAACUGGAAAAGUGCCCUUGAUACUGAUCGUCUCGAGGGAGGUAGGGGCAUGUGGAACUUCCGGUGGAGCGGUGAAAUGCGUAGAUAUCGGAAGGAACGCCGGUGGCGAAAGCGACGUGCUGGACCUCUUCUGACGCUGAGGCGCGAAAGCUAGGGGAGCGAACGGG